UCUGGUAAUGAUGGCAGAGAGGCCACACCCGUUCCCAUACCGAACACGGAAGUUAAGCUCUCUAGCGC
rnacentral:rRNA from 1 species